CUUCAGCGAGCCGAGCAGCAGCGGCCGGUCGGCGGGCCGGUCCUGGCCGUAGGUGGCCAGCAGCGCCUGUGCCUC
rnacentral:antisense_RNA from 1 species